UACGAAGGGGGCUAGCGUUGUUCGGAAUUACUGGGCGUAAAGCGCGCGCAGGCGGUUUCUCAAGUCAGUGGUGAAAGGCCGGAGCUCAACUCCGGAACUGCCAUUGAAACUGUGAGACUUGAGGACGAGAGAGGUGAGUGGAAUUCCCAGUGUAGAGGUGAAAUUCGUAGAUAUUGGGAAGAACACCGGUGGCGAAGGCGGCUCACUGGCUCGUUUCUGACGCUCAGGCGCGACAGCGUGGGGAUCAAACAGG
rnacentral:rRNA from 1 species